rnacentral:rRNA from 1 species
GACGAACGCUGGUGGCGUGCUUAACACAUGCAAGUCGAACGGAAAGGCCCUGCUUUUGUGGGGUGCUCGAGUGGCGAACGGGUGAGUAACAAGUGAGUAACCUGCCCUCGACUUUGGGAUAACUUCAGGAAACUGGGGCUAAUACCGGAUAGGAGCUCCUGCUGCAUGGUGGGGGUUGGAAAGUUUCGGCGGUUGGGGAUGGACUCGCGGCUUAUCAGCUUGUUGGUGGGGUAGUGGCUUACCAAGGCUUUGACGGGUAGCCGGCCUGAGAGGGUGACCGGCCACAGUGGGACUGAGAUACGGCCCAGACUCCUACGGGAGGCAGCAGUGGGGGUUAUUGCACAAUGGGCGGAAGCCUUAUGCAGCAACGCCGCGUGCGGGAUGACGGCCUUCGGGUUGUAAACCGCUUUCGCCUGUGACGAAGCGUGAGUGACGGUAAUGGGUAAAGAAGCACCGGCUAACUACGUG